GGAUUUUCUUAGUAGCGGCGAGCGAAAAGAAAUCAGUUCAGCACUAAGUCACUUUGUCUUUAUGGCAAAUGUGAGAUGCAGUGUAUGGAAUGUCAAAUUUCUAGUAUGAGAAAUUAACGAUUUAAGUCCUUCUUAAAUGAGGCCAUUUACCCAUAGAGGGUGCCAGGCCCGUAUAACGUUAAUGAUUACUAGAUGGCAUUUCCAAAGAGUCGUGUUGCUUGAUAGUGCAGCACUAAGUGGGUGGUAAACUCCAUCUAAAACUAAAUAUAACCAUGAGACCGAUAGUAAACAAGUACCGUGAGGGAAAGUUGAAAAGAACUCUGAAUAGAGAGUUAAAUAGUACGUGAAACUGCUUAGAGGUUAAGCCCGAUGAACCUGAAUAUCCAUUAUAGAAAAUUCAUCAUUAUGAUUUUAAUAUUAAUAAUAUUAUAAUAAUGGUGUGCAUUUUUUCUAUAACGGACAUUGUAAUCUAUUAACAUAAAUAUAUUUAUCAUAAGAUCAAUGAUGCGUAAGUUUAUUCAAAUUAUUUUGCUUGCAAUUUAACAUAGAAUAAAUGCUCUUGAUUUGAUAAAGUGUUGAUAGAUUUAUUGUAUAUAGUGCUUAAAUAUUUAUAUUUUAUAAUAGCAUAUUAAUCAUUGAUUUUUAUGUUUAUUAUAUGCACUUAUAUGAUUAACAAUGCGAAAGAUUCAGGAUACCUUCGGGACCCGUCUUG
rnacentral:rRNA from 1 species